CUUCUUCUCCAUUCUUCCUUGCUCUCUUCUCCAUUCCUGCGCUCUUCUCCCUUUUUCUCUGACGUUCCUGCGUCGUGGCUGCAUGGUCUGCUUCGCCUGGUUCCGCAAAACUGUUGUGGAGCUCUUCCUUCACUUCGGCGUCGACUGACGUGGGAUACCCCGACGGACAACCUUCUCCAGUCCGCGAGCUCUACGACCUCCCUCUCCUAAGGCAUAAGAAGGAGCUAGUCUCUUCUAGCCCCGUUUUCUUCUUCAGUAUAUGAAGAAACCUCUAUUUUUCCAGUAUAUAAACAAUGCAAAUGGAAUAUUGUAAACAUUCGCUUUCAGAACACUUGGAUUCCUUCAACUCCAAGCGAGUGUGGCCCUGGUUGCAUAAUGCCCUUAAAUUUUAGAUUAAAUGGUCUUAGGGAGUGAAGCGCAGAGGAUUAAUUUAUGCAUCUCUUCGUUGCAAUUAUUAGCAUACGUUUAUUUAUCUAUAGUGAACAUAUUUGUUUGGAACUUCAACAAUUUGAU